AGAGUGAACGCUGGCGGCAGGCCUAAUACAUGCAAGUCGAACGGCAGCACGGCAGAGCUUGCUCUGUGGGUGGCGAGUGGCGGACGGGUGAGGAAUACAUGGGAAUCUGCCCAGUCGUGGGGGAUAACGUAGGGAAACUUACGCUAAUACCGCAUGCGCCCUUCGGGGGAAAGCCGGGGACCUUCGGGCCUGGCGCGAUUGGAUGAGCCCAUGUCGGAUUAGCUAGUUGGCGGGGUAACGGCCCACAAGGCGACGAUCCGUAGCUGGUCUGAGAGGAUGAUCAGCCACACUGGAACUGAGACACGGUCCAGACUCUACGGGAGCAGCAGUAGGGAAUAUUGGACAAGUGGGCACAAGCCUGAUCCAGCCAUGCCGCGUGAGUGAAGAAGCCUUGGUGUAAGCUCGUUUAGACCGGUAAAGAAAGCGUUAGGU
rnacentral:rRNA from 1 species